GCAUAACGCGAAGAACCUUACCCACCUUUGACAUGUACGGAAUCCUUUAGAGAUAGAGGAGUGCUCGAAAGAGAGCCGUAACACAGGUGCUGCAUGGCUGUCGUCAGCUCGUGUCGUGAGAUGUUGGGUUAAGUCCCGCAACGAGCGCAACCCUCGCCAUUAGUUGCUACAUUUAGUUGAGCACUCUAAUGGGACUGCCGGUGACAAACCGGAGGAAGGUGGGGAUGACGUCAAGUCCUCAUGGCCCUUAUAGGUGGGGCUACACACGUCAUACAAUGGCUGGUACAAAGGGUUGCCAACCCGCGAGGGGGAGCUAAUCCCAUAAAGCCAGUCGUAGUCCGAAUCGCAGUCUGCAACUCGACUGCGUGAAGUCGGAAUCGCUAGUAAUCGUGGAUCAGAAUGUCACGGUGAAUACGUUCCCGGGUCUUGUACACACCG
rnacentral:rRNA from 1 species